rnacentral:lncRNA from 1 species
CUGGAUUUCAACCCUAAUAGUGACAGAAUAAAAACAAUAAUAGUCCUUUAUUGCCAAAGUUGCAGUUUACUUUUGCACUGACAUUUUUGGUGCAUACUUCCUAUUAUGCACUUUCAGAGGAAGACAGAUAUUAGACCUGUACUAGUUUACUGCUGAAUUUGAAGAGGAAGCUUAGGAGAAACGUGAUUCAAUGUAAGUCUGGACCUUUUGUAAGCAUUGUUGCUGCUGCUGCAACUUGUGAAACAGAAGUGGAAUGUUACAAAUGAUCCUUUAAGAUACAAAAAUAGACUGCUCCUCAGGGCAUUCUACUCUUUCUUUGCGUCUUGGGCAUCUUUCUCUUCUUCAUCAGAGUAUACAGUGGGUUCCUCCCCGUCCUUCAGCAGCUUACCAACGUGGUGAUACUUAACCGGCCCGUAGAACUUGCUGGCGCGGGUCACGUCGAACACCUUCCCGUUGACGGCCAUGAGGAUGCGCGGGUCGCGCACGCCGUCGUAGGGCCGCAGCUGCUCCAGUGUGAAGUCGCGGCGCUUCAUCUUGGGCAGCGGCGGCGGACCCGCCUCGCCCGGCUGCGCCGCGGGCCGCUCGCCCCGCAGGAUCUGGUAGAGCAGGAAGAGGCAGAGGCCCAGCAGGCUCAGGUUGAGAGGCGAGCCCACGAUCUCCAGCAGCAGGCCACCCCCCUCGGUCGCCACCGCCUCCUCGCCCGCCAUCGCCGGCUCCUCGGCGGCCAUCGGCUCCGCUGCGCUCCGGCACGGCGAGCUGUGGGGCGGGGCGGGGCGGGGGAGGGAGGCGGCCGAGGGGCGGGCGGCGGCGGCGGCGCUCCUGCCGGCAGGGGGCGCUGUGAGCGCGGCGAUGGCAUCGCCGCCAUCGUCCGCUCUGCGCGGCGGGCUGAAGUGAGGGAGGCUCGGGCUCCUCCAGCAGCAAAACAACAGAAGCAGCAGCUGUGAUGUACUUUUAUAAUGUGCCAUUUGUCCACUUGCGGGCUUCUCUGCCCGGUCCGAAGGAAGCACUGACACGUUCGUCUGUUUAAUACGGGGCUCACGCAUAGCAGAGGAGCACGUUGCUGUCACCUGCC